rfam:Schistosoma margrebowiei strain Zambia genome assembly, scaffold: SMRZ_contig0013732
AGCCUUCUGUAUCCGUGCUGAGAUUUCGUCACAUACCAGACCACAAGGGCUGAUGAGACUU